CCGGAUUUAUUGGGUUUAAAGGGUGCGUAGGCUGAUGUUUAAGUCUUGGGUGAAAUCCCACCGCUCAACGGUGGAACUGCCUGAGAAACUGGAUGUCUUGAGUAUAGUUGAGGUAGCUGGAAUUGGUGGUGUAGCGGUGAAAUGCAUAGAUACCACCAGGAACCCCUAUUGCGAAGGCAAGUUACUAAGCUAUAACUGACGCUGAUGCACGAAAGCGUGGGUAGCGAACAGGAUUAGAUACCCUGGUAGUCNAGUCCACGCCGUAAACGAUGGACACUAGUUGUUGGGCGCAAGUUCAGUGACUAAGCGAAAGUGAUAAGUGUCCCACCUGGGGAGUACGGUCGCAAGAUUGAAACUCAAAGGAAUUGACGGGGGCCCGCACAAGCGGUGGAGCAUGUGGUUUAAUUCGAUGAUACGCGAGGAACCUUACCAGGGCUUAAAUGUAGGAUGCAUUGUUUAGAGAUAGACAUUUCUUCGGACUUCUUACAAGGUGCUGCAUGGUUGUCGUCAGCUCGUGCCGUGAGGUGUCAGGUUAAGUCCUAUAACGAGCGCAACCCCUAUUUUUAGUUGCUAACAGUUAAAGCUGAGGACUCUAGAGAGACUGCCGGUGCAAACCGCGAGGAAGGUGGGGAUGACGUCAAAUCAUCACGGCCCUUACGUCCUGGGCCACACACGUGCUACAAUGGCCGGUACAGUGAGCAGCCACUACGCGAGUAGGCGCGAAUCUUCAAAGCCGGUCACAGUUCGGAUCGGAGUCUGCAACUCGACUCCGUGAA
rnacentral:rRNA from 1 species